rnacentral:rRNA from 1 species
CCUAAAGCGUCCGUAGCCUGUUUUGUCAGUUUUCGGUUAAAUCCAUACGCUUAACGUAUGGGCUGCCGGAAAUACUGCAAAACUAGGGAGUGGGAGAGGUAGACGGUACUCGGGAGGAAGGGGUAAAAUCCUUUGAUCUCUCGAUGACCACCUGUGGCGAAGGCGGUCUACCAGAACACGUCCGACGGUGAGGGAUGAAAGCUGGGGGAGCAAACCGGAUUAGAUACCCGGGUAGUCCCAGCUGUAAACUAUGCAAACUCAGUGAUGCAUUGGCUUGAUGCCAAUGCAGUGUUGCAGGGAAGCCGUUAAGUUUGCCGCCUGGGAAGUACGUACGCAAGUAUGAAACUUAAAGGAAUUGGCGGGGGAGCACCACAAGGGGUGAAGCCUGCGGUUCAAUUGGAGUCAACGCCAGAAAUCUUACCCGGAGAGACAGCAGAAUGAAGGUCAAGCUGAAGACUUUACCAGACAAGCUGAGAGGUGGUGCAUGGCCGUCGCCAGCUCGUGCCGUGAGAUGUCCUGUUAAGUCAGGUAACGAGCGAGAUCCUUGCCUCUAGUUGCCACCAUUACUCUCAGGAGUAGUGGGGCGAAUUAGCGGGACCGCCGUAGUUAAUACGGAGGAAGGAAGGGGCCACGGCAGGUCAGUAUGCCCCGAA